rnacentral:misc_RNA from 1 species
UCCCGCUUAUCACGGGCAGUUCCCCUAAAGUGCCCGGCAUUACCCGCUGGCAACCAAGGGUGUGGGUUGCGCUCGUUGCCGGACUUAACCGAACAUCUCACGACACGAGCUGACGACAGCCACGCAGCACCUGUGUCCCUGCCCCUUGCGGGGAAACCGGCUCUCACCGGCGGUCAGGGCAUGUCAAGGGCUGGUAAGGUUUUGCGCGUUGUAUCGAAUUAAACCACAUGCUCCACCGCUUGUGCAGGCCCCCGUCAAUUCCUUUGAGUUUUAGCCUUGCGGCCGUACUCCCCAGGCGGGGUACUUAAUGCGUUAGCUUCGGCACGGAAUCCGUUGAUAAGACCCCACACCUAGUACCCAACGUUUACGGCGUGGACUAC